GACAGCAGAAAGCUUGAUGCAGGGCUCGAACCUAUGACCCAUAAGAUCGUGACCUGAGCCGAAGUCGGAUGCUUCACCUACUGAGCCACCCAGGUGCCCCUUUGCCCACAUUCUUAAAAGCCCUGAAAGGAAUCUCUUGUCUGGACUCCAACACCACCUCACCCCGUUCUCUGUUUUCUCCAGACUUCCUUCCUUCCUUCCUUCCUUCCUUCCUUCCUCCCUCCCUCCCUCCCUCCUUCCCUUCCUUCCUUCCUCCCUCCCUCCUUCCCUUCCUUCCUCCUUCCCUCCCCCCUUCCCUUCCUUCCUUCCCUCCUUCCUUCUGUCUACCAGUCAGAGAUUUUCUCGUGACUCCCAGGCCCAUAGUAUGGCCUUAACCUUUAACCUAAGCUCAGAGGAACCAGUGAGGUGCCAACAUCCACAGAGAUCGUAAGCACUACGAAACCAUUUGUUUUAAAAACUAAACUCUUCUCCUAAUUUUAUCCUCCCCACGCAAACAAAUAAAACAACCUGACUUCUUUUUUAUUUCUUACCAUCAUUGAAAAACAACAUGUAUCUCCCUGCCUGUUGCUUGGGUGAGGGGCCUUGAGUUAGCUGCAGUUUCACCCCUUGUCUCUGAGCAUGACAAACGCUUCUGAAGAAGCCAUUGAUUCUCCCUCUCCUCCUGCUGCUAUCAGUCCUGGGCUCCAGCCCUCGCCCUCUCCAGCCCAUGUACAGCUCUCUAGAACACAGGAUCAGUCUGCAGGGCCCCCCAUCUCUGGGCCAUUCUCUGCAUGGAUUUCAGAGUUUUUCCAGAACCUGGCCCUGACUGGGACAUUCCCUGCCCGUAGACGGAAGAGCUUCCUUUGUCUCAAGAUGAAGGAGGAAGCAUUUCCAGGCCCAGUGAAAUCUGGCCUCCACCGGUCAACUUCCGCACUCUUCAUUUCUGGCUACUCUUCCCCACCCCAUGAUCUAGUCACACGUCUGCUCUUCUCUAAAUGCCCUGUGCAUGCGCGCAUGUCUGAAUCCUUGCUCCCCAUUUCCGUCUGUUGGAAUCCAUCCCGUGUCCUCUCUACCCAGCAAGUUCCCACUCAUCCUCAAUGCCACUGAAGCCACGGUGAAGUCCGAGUCUCCCUUCUCUGGACUCUUGCAAAAUACCUGUACUGUAGUGCGUAUCACAACACGCUGUGUGCGUGCACACUUCUGGCUCACCCUCGUUAGAUUGUGGACCCCUUGAGAAGCACUGUCUUUGAACCCUCACCCCAAACAGGAAAACUUCGUCCUUUGUUAUUCUUUGUUCGUAUCUUACUCUUUUCCUCGACUAAAUUCUCCACUUAUAAUGGAAAAGUUGGGCGGGUUCCUCAUAGCCUACUUAAGACCAUUGAUCCCAAAGAUGGCAAGACAGAAUGAAGUGUGAGACAGAAGGACUGGAAAUAUGGCUCAGAUGGUGUCCUCUGGGUGACCGUCUUUCUCUAAGGUCACAUAUUCUAAGAAUGGAUACUCUGAGAGUUUGAGAACCCUUGAGAGCUCCAGAUGGAUGACAAAACCAGUUCUCGUGCCUAGCUUUUAUGUGACUCUUGCUGCAAGUUCAGGGGCUCCGGGGACGGGUAGGGGCGGGGGAGGAAAUCCUUGAAAUUCUGGUUUCUUUUCUCCUCUGUUAUUAAAUGGCUGUAGUAAAAGCCAUGUCCACAUCAUUCUGUAAAGUAGUCCGAAGGCAGAGAGGGCAAAGGAGACCUUGCAUCUUUCAUUUACUAAAAUGAUGCAUUAUUUUUAUCAGAAAGGGAGAGAGAAAAACAUGUAAGCCUGAGAGAAUCUCACAGGAGUCCCGACGGAUCCCAUGCCCAGCGCCGCUGAGUAGGAACACGUAUGGAAUGGUGUGUGGGAUUGGUAGCACGUAUAAAUAUAUUUGUGUGUACACACACAUGAUCAGAAAUCCAGCCGGUAUUUGUUGAAUAACCAGGUGUGCAGCGUGAGUGCGUGUGUGUGUGUGCGUGCGGGCGUGUGCGUGCGUGUGUGUGCAUGCAUGUGUGUGCGUGCGGGUGUGUGCAUACGUGCCACAUGCUUUUCCUUUCAGUCAUUUGUGUGACCCCAUCUCAGCUUUCUAGCACAUUCUGGACAGUGGGGAGGGGGAAACGGACUUUUUUUUUUCAGAAGCUAAUUUACCUUGUGAGGGCAAAGCUCCAUUUUAAUUGAUUCUCUCUUUCAAGAUCCAAGUAACCUAUAAUCUCCACUCAAUUGUCAAUAUUUUGCCGGCAUCAUCCCUCAGCCUUUAACAUGCAGAUAGAGCGGGGAAAAAAGCGGCUGUCGUAGCUCAGGAUGAAAAACAAGAGCGGCUCAGGUAUUCAGAAGCCACCCAAACAUCAGAGGUUUCCACGAUGCUCGGCUGUGCAUGGCAUCCCAAACAGAGUGGGAGAAGAUAUUCCCACUGGACAUUUUGAGGUGCCUUUUGGGCCAGUUCCAGGUGGCUUCCAGCACACUCCCAGGCGCGAUUCUAGCAGCAGGUCACUGGGAUAGGGAUGGCAAUGGUCCGGGGCCUUCUGCGGAGGCAAAGAGGACACGUAGGGAUAGCAGUGCAGCAGGGAGCACUCCCUGACUCUACUCACUGGGUCUUUCAGCAGCCCCUCAGAGCCAUGGCUCUUCCCCGGGGAAGAGCCUGGGAGGUGAGACCUUGGGGUUUUAUGGUGACUCCACAGAGAGCUGCAUGGGUCACCUGUGACAGGAAAAAUCUCAGGUUAACAAAGGAGACUCUAUGAUGAUAUCGGGUACGUGCUAGGAAUGCUUAGUGUUAACAUUCAUUCUCACAACCCAUGAGCCAGACAGUCUUCUCCCCAUCUUCCAGAAGAGGAAACUGAACUGUUUGGCUAAAGUGGCCCAACCAGCAGGUGGCCGAUCCAGGUUUCAAACCCAGCUGUACCUGCUCCUGCCCUUCGUUACCAGCAGGGCAUCGUGGGCCUCCACUGUCCUAUUAAUCAGCAUCUCCGCUCCUGGGGAGGUGGGCUGGGGCUUGAUGUGACAUGUGGACGAGGAGUCUAAGGCCUGGGGACAUGGAAGAAGGGGAGGGUCACGCAGGGCUGGACGCCAGGGGAAGACGGCCAGAGCGUCUCGGUGUGAUGACCGUCCUGCAUAAGACAGUUUGGAUUCUGGACGUGGAUGUCCCAAGUCCGGGUGUGUCUGUUUUCUGUUGGCCUCAACCUGGCCGACAGCCCUAUUCUCCGAUUGCUGCACACUCAAUGAGGAAGGCAGGUGCUGGGAACGCACAGUGGCAGAAGGGGGAAGGAGAAGACAGGUACUUGCACUCAUAGGGCCUUGGCCAGGGAGCAGUGGAAGAGACGUGAGGGAAGGAGAUGCUUUGAAGGCUCUUAACUUGGCCAAGUCCCCAGUGGCGACUCUGGGAUAUUGGCCGUCCUGAGCCCUGUGGAGAACGAAGCCAGGGGACCGGGGGUCAUUGACAGCAGGGAGACUUAAUACCAGGGAGGAGAGGGCAGACUGGGCAAGCUCCCAGUCACUGACAUCUGCUCUCCAGAUCAACCCUUGUGCUGAGCUCACUCUAGUCCGAUGGCCUCUUCCAUUUAAUCCAUAAAUCCCCCUGCUGCCUCACGUGGCCUCUAUGACUCCAUGCCUCUGUCGUGGGGUAGCCACGGAACUUUUCUGCUGUCCUCUCCAUCCCUUUUACACUCCCAGGCUCCCAUCACUGACUUGCGUGCUGGAGAAAAGCCGAUGCUUGCUGCUGCCUGGAAGCCUCAUCGUGACCGUGUGGCCCCCACGCACCUGUCAGGACACAGGCACACGUGCAGUAGAUCCCACAGCAUUGACAGCCUGAGGAAAGGGCAGGAGAACCUUCCAGUUACCAGUAGAUUGUAAUGGUGUGUGGCAGGGGGAGGGGUGGCAGGGGUGCAUCUCUGAAAGGGAUGGCAUGAUCCUGUCAACCUUCUCCCUUUUCCUUGUGGAAGGAAGGAGGGUGGAAAAGCACACAGCAGUCUCCAGGAGAGCCCCUCUCAAGACCCUGUGCACCCCCUUUUGCUUUUCCCUGAAGCACAGCCCCGAGGGAUUUCCUUUUAUUCUUUUCCUGCCUCUCUUACCACACUAAACACACACACACACACACACACACACACACACACACACGGCCACAAUGAAUGUCCGUGCUGUUGCAAAGUGAAAUGUGCUAACAAGAGCCUCCAUUCUCAAGAUCCAGAGAAACCAGGAGGGGUGGAGAAAUGAGGGGAGUGUGUUAGUGAGACAGGGGUGAGCACACAGCCGGCUUCCAGUCACCGCCAUCAAGCCAUGGCAGGGGUGAGGGGGGGCAUCAGGGCAGCCACAUUUGCUUAGAAAGACAGGGACUUUAAUGGAGCAAAGAGUCUGUGUUUUUCUCUUUUUUUAACGUUUAUUUCUUUUUGAAGGAGAGAGAUAGAGCGUGAGUGGGUGAGGAGCAGAGACGGAGGGAGACACAGAAUCCCAAGCAGGCUCCGGGCUCUGAGCUGUCAGCACAGAGCCGGACACAGGGCUCGAACCCACGAACCUUGAGGUCUGACCUAAGCCAAAGUCGGACCUUCACCGACUGAGCCACCCAGAUGCCCCGAGUCUGUUUUUUCCUUUAACCCUUCCAGAUCCCCCAGAUGACCCUGCCUUUCAGUAAACGCUCCUCUGGGCCAGUUUCAGGGAGGAAGUAAACAGAAGCUGAAGAGCAGCCUGUGGGUUGAGUAUGUGAGGCCAAAUACGUUCCUUAUGGCAAAUGAGCAAAUACAAUAAUGACAUAACAUUAGUGGGCAUUAGACUUCCUGUGUGUCUGGAAAUCCUCUUAUGUUAGAUCCCAAUCAUUUUGUUCAUUGAACAAAUAUUUUUGGAGCACUUGAUAAGCAUCUGGCACCACGUUAGGUGCUGGGAGGGAGCUCUCUGAAGGAUAUAAUCAGGAGAGUUAGAAGGCCUGAUGUGUGUUUUGAAAGGUCAGUCUCUCUACAGUGAUGAGGAUAGAUGAGCCAGAAGAGGAAAUGAAGGCAGGAAAUCAGUUGGGCGGAUUCAUCCAGGUGAGAGAUGGUGCUGGCCUGAGCUAAGAAAGUGGGGAAGGAACAGAGGGGUAGAGUCAGGACAUGUGUGAUCCACCAGCCACAAAAUCCUUGUUUAUUAUUUACUCUCCGUAAGGCACAAGUGUUGGGAAUGCAGUGAUACAAAUAUUUAUGAGUAAGAUACAAAGAAUGCAGGGAUCGCCCGUAAGGAAAAGAAGAUGCCAUAGACGACUGGCACUCUAGUUUCUGGGUGGACAGAAGAGCCAUUCACGGUGAUGGAGAUCAUGAGGAGGAGAAGGUUUGGGGGCAAAACCCUGAGUUCCAUUUUUGACAUGUUGAGCCGGAGUUGCUUCCGGGAUCUCCAAUUAGAGAUGUCCAGGAAAAAGUGUGGCUGUAGGGGGCUGGGGCUUCAGAAAAGAAUGAGCUUUGGGGUUAUGGAAAGAGCCUCGGCAGAAUCCUCAGUGAAUGCCAACAUUGAAGAAAAGGGUUAAAAGAAAAAAUAGGAGUCCAUGAGUGGACUGGGAAGAAACAUCCAGAAAAGUAACAGGAAAACAGGGAGAGCAUGCUGUCAUAGAUGUCAAGGCAGGAUUGGUUCAGUGAGAGAGAGAUGACUCUAGUGACAUUGAGACAACCCGUGGCCAUUGGAAUUCAGAGCCACAAGGUCAGUUAAACCUCAGAGAAAGAUGUGUAGGAGGAAGCAUAGACACAGACACUGAGAGGAGAAAAUGGGGAAGUGGCUGCAGAGGAAUACCAGGUGAAGGGACAGUUGUCAGUGCCGCCCUGUUUUUAAGAUGGGAGAUGUUGUCACAUAUGUGAAUCCUAUGGGGAAGAAGGAGAGAGGGGUGAAAUGGACAGGGCUCGGACGUUGAGGACGUUGAGGAGUUGGAGGACGGAGAAUCCGCACCACAGAUGGAAGGAUUAGCCUUUCACUUGUCUCAUAUAACAGGAGGGAAGGUGGGACAUGUGAGUACGGGUGAAGUCAAGAUGAGGAGUUUGGAUAUAAGACAUUGAGAAAAUACUUAUCUGGUGACAUCUGCUUUCUCUGGGAAGCAGAGAGAGGUCGUCUGCUGAGAGUGGGAGCCAGGCAAGAAGCAGUAAAGUUUAAGAAGAGUGGAGAAUGUUUGAUUUAGCCUUUGUGGGGAGUGGCAGGGAGUGUGCUUCUAACCAUAGAAGCACAGAGGUAUUGGGGAGACGGUGUCGGAGGGGGCAUCUAAGGUCGCAGAUCAGACAUACAAAUGUGGCCAAUCCGCGUGCUGGGAUGAUUAUCUCUGGCUCCUUGCAGCUUCCCAGGAUUAGGCACAGAGGAGGGAGAUCGUGAAGUGAUCUGGGGUUGGGGCUUUCUAGGAAGGUAAGCAUUAGGGACGAGCGGUAAAUGCGCUGGAUGAAGCUAUGGACCAUGGAGUCUGAGCUGCAUAGGGAAGAAAGUGAAUGUAUGGGGUGGGGUCUGUAGGUUAGGGAGAGAGUAAGGAGGCCAUAGAGGGAGGUUUCAGUGAUGACCAAGAACAUCACGGUCUUAAAACUUACUCUGGGAAAUAGGCAAGUGAGACCAGGAAAAUCAGGAAGCUGUGAACAGGAAAUAAAGUGUCUACAUUUAUCCUUCCAGAAAAAAAGGGCCAUGACACUGCCCCACAAGGGAAAAAAAAAAAAUGAAUGCCAAGAGCAUCUCCUCCCAUGAUGACUUCUUUAACUGGAAUCGCAAAUCCAGAUAGCAAAUGGAUUAAUUCCACAGUGAAGGGAGGAUCCUUGACUUCACAGAGACUUAACUGUACCUUUUGUUUAUCAGUGCAGUGAUUUGACGGUAAUUAUUAUAAUGCUCUGCCUUUAUCUUUGUCUAAUCAAUAGGUCUCUUGGGAUCUAUAGAUACAUGUUAUGGUGAUAAAGAAAGGACAUUUCAUGGAUAGAGGCAGCAGUGGGAGGGCGUACCAGAUUGUGGGAAGGCAAUAAAGCAUGGUAGUUAAAAGCAGGAAUUCAGGGGUCAGAUUCCUAACCUAGCCACUUAUCGUCAUUUUGGCUUUAGGAAAGUUAUUUCAUCUUUCAAGAGCUUCCCGCUUAUGCGGUAUGGAGAAAAAGUACUUCACGGGAGUGAUGUGAAGGUUAAUGGAUAGAAUUAAAACAUGAAAUUAAAUAAUAGAAACACAUUUAGUUUCUUAUCAGGCACGUAGUAAUUGCUCAAUAAAUAACAGUGAUGGUAGUAAUGUUGUCACUGCUGACAGUGGAAGGGUAAGCUAGAGUCUAGGUACGUGUCUAGGUGUCCCCGUCACGCCUGCGUUUUCCUCGGCCAGCUCAGCCAAUCCCACACAGCCUCUACGGUUCGACCCCUGUCUGCUCCAGCGGCUCCUGCCUGCCCUUUCCGGAAGCCUUAAACGCCUCCACAUCUAAUCUGAAAGUCCCGUACUCCUAUUUCACCCGUAUCAGGCAAAGUAUUUCUCUUCCAGACCACAGCUGACUGUGUGAGUUCAAAGAGCUUCUGCACAACUGGCUUCGCUAAACUGAAGCGUGUCCCUGGCACGACAGCUUGAACAACCAAAUAGCCUGAUCUCAGCUCUGUUAUCUCCGCUAGCCAGAGAAGCGGGCCUGCCGCUGUGUUGAGGCCUUGGGUGGUGGUGGCUCGACAUCAAGGACCUCGUUAUCGAUGAUUCUAAUUGGUAUUCCUCACCAUGGCCAGAGCUGCCAAGGUUUAAAGUAGCUUCCAUCCUCCAGAUCCAUAAACUUGCCCUUGGCUUAUUGAGCCAACCACACUAGUUUAACAGAAGUGAUUUUAAUUACUUAACUGGAGCUACAGAAAGGAGGAAGUGAGGAGACUAUGUGGCUGUGAUCAGUGUUUAACCAAAGGGCCCGGAAUUCUCCUGUCUUGGGAGCAAAGACAUUAACGAUGGCUCUACCUACCGCAGUGUUCUCUCCCACCCGCUACGCGCAAGCAUCCACACGGAGGCGUCACACUUACUGAAAUUCACAGAGGUCCUGUACCUUGAUUCUACAAGUUGCACAUGUAUUUACUGCUUGGAAGGUGGUGAAAACUUAAGUGGAUGCGAUAAAAUUGUAAUUUCCUUUGGUCUGUAACAAUAUACCUCUUUGCCCCUGCUAGGAAUGACUUUCAGUUCUAAUUCUUACUCUCUCUAAUGAAAACGGACCAGGAAGGCCUGGCACAUGCUUGCUGCGAUCCGUUGGUACUGGCUGCCUUUCAUUAAUGUAGGGAAAGAUGCGAUAAAGAACACUGUACUCGAUUAGGAAUGUCUGCCACAGGCACAGGCGUGAGGAAUGAAGUAUCCUCUGUGUGUACUUGUGAUCCCUAUCUUAGAUUUUAAACUUCUAGGUGGCAGGGAAUGGAUUAUCUUGGUUCUGUGUGUAAAUGUACCUAACAUAUGUCAUGAGUUACUGAUGGUGAUGGCAAAGACUAUGCAGAAAUACAGUAAUUUAACUGGUUAGCUAAAAUCUGGUGAUUGCCCUCCAGCCCAUAAGCUUGCUCAUCGCCUUGUCAGAGAAUAAGCAACUCCGUUUACAAAAGACUUCAUUCCUUACACUAAAACUGCUUCGAUAGUCUAAGCACUGUCAUAAAUAUUAGACAACAAAAUGUCAACAUAAAUGAAGGGGGAAGUUUUGUGGUGUGGCAAAACUUCUCUUCUGCUAUUAAAUCAUGUUUAUUUGCUUACUUGCAAUUUGCUGGAUGUCCCCAGCAUCCAGUGAUGUUUUUGAGGCUCAGCUGGACAGGAGAGGGAGUAGCAUUCUGAGCAAAUGAAGGACAAGCAUUCCUUUUGCCUCGGUACUAUCUGCCUCACUUGAAUUGCAUGUCCUUCAACGGCUGUAUCGUGGGUCUCUGUCUCUCCUCUGAGAGGCAUGUAUAUCAUUGUGUCCUAACCUCGUAUUUCUGAGAAUGCACAAAACCAGUUUCCCAGGCAGCAAUAAACGUGCCAGAUAUCGGUGCAGACUCUUAUGGGAGCCUGGCUCGAGGAGAUGGGUCACAAAAUCUAAACUCUGCCCCAUCCCCAUAAGCUGCGUAAUCACAGCCCAAAUGAAAUAGAGGGCUCAGUGAUGACCAGAGGCACAGCCCGGUUGGGGGGAGGAAUAGGCAUCCCGCUGCCUCUGUCAUCCCAUUCUCCAGAAACUUCACCCUGAUUCUUGAAGUCCAUCGCUAAGCUUAGGAAAUUAGGGGAGGGCACAAAGUGAAUAUGUGUUGCAACCAGAAAUCAUGGCGGCCACCAAAAAAUUUAUACUGAGAACUAGACUUUUUCAAUUCAGCAUUAUUCAUCACCACAAAACUUACACCUGUGUGGUGAUGGAUGGUCCCUGCAGGAGCAACUCCUGGAGAACCCCUACCUGCCUUCGAUCAUGGCCUGCAGGGGAAGCGUCAGACUUAGGGAGGACCUGGGACGCUUGGUCGGGCAUGGUUAUCUGUCUAAACCUUCAUGUUCUUUUCCCAGGUGUAAAAAUGAGCAGGUUGACGAGUUGGCCACUAAUGUCCUUUCUAGCUCCAAUGUGUCAGUUUAAUUAAGACUUAAAUUCAUAUUCAAUAAAAUUUUAGCUAACAUUCAUUCAAAGUUGGAAUCACCCAUCCCUGAUCUAUAUUAUUAAGUGUGUUUGUUUUGCUUUUUAAUGAAGAAGGAAAAAGCUUUCUGCAAUUAAGUUGCACAGCCCGGCUUUCCACACUGAUUAGCUGACUGUGACGAACUUUGUCAUAGUCUCAGAGAAUGUUCGGUACUGUCUGUCUCUCUUGUGGGCUUUUGUUUUGCUCCUGAGAAGAUAUGACCUUCAUGAGUGGUUCUCAAAGAGUGGUCCCAGGACCAGCAGUGUCAAUAUCGCCUGGGAACUUAAUAGAAAUGCAGAUUCUGGUUCCUUCCUCGAGAUGUGAAUUGACACACUGGCUAGAGCUCAGAGAUUUGUAUUUUAAUAAAUCUUCCAGGUGAUUUUAAGACAUGCCAAACCUUCAGAAACACUGACCUACAGGGAAAAACAAUAGUACAUGCUGAGAAUCAGGGGACCAGUUUUCCCACUGACCGGCCAUGAGAUCUUAAGCUAUUCACAGUAAACUCAGGAUGACUUUGCCUUUGUUACCCACCCAGGGUAUCAGCAGAAUGCAACUUGUUGGUAGGUGUGGAAGUGCUGUAAAAGGUUGAAUGUAUCUUACAUAUGAUUCGACUUUCAUUUGUUCGUUCAUUGAACAAAUAUCAUUCAUCAUCUGUCUGUGCCAGAGAGCGUUCUAGGUGCGAAGGAUGCUACAUGAAGAAGACGGACGAGGCCCUUGCUGUCAUGGAGCCCGCAUCCUAGAAUGGAUCCUUUGUGAAACGUUUUGAUAGUUGCAAGCAGUUAUAUGAUCCAUUUCAAGAUUAGGUUCAGGAUUCUCAAGGGAAUGAGAAACUGUGAAAUGCUCCUACCUAAGAAGAGUAAGAUCGGGUUAUGUCAGGCAUAACAAGGAACCCGUUGACUUAAAGCAAUGUCGGCCUCCAGGAAACAGCACAGGGCGACAUUUAACACUUGUCAAGCUGGGUCUUGCCUUGAUGAGACAGGAGACUUGAGAGAAUGAUACUCCCAAGUUUCAUCCAGUUUAUGAUACUACAGUUCUACCCUCUUCAUGUGAGUCAACUGUUCUGGCUUGUCUUGCACAAACCUGUACAUUAAAAAGAGUAAAGCAAAGCAUAUAUAUACUUCCGGAGCCUUUUUCCAGAAUCAUAAUUGACCAGAUGUCUACCAUCUGAGAUGUGGGCCCAACGAGAAUAGACAAAUGUUCCUCAGAUGGAUGGGCCCCCAAACAAACUUUUAGAAUUGGGGUUUUCAUCCUUGGCCACUAUCAUUGACAAGCGGCUUUUUUUUUUUUCUUUUUAAAACCAGAGCUAAAAUUCAAUUUCCUAAAUUUUAUGAAAAGAAAUGAAAAAUAUGCUUGGGGGAAAAGAGUGGCUCAAGAGAGUUUUUGGACUUCAAAAACCGUCAAAAAUCUUUUAAUGAUUUAACUGUAAAGGAAUCAGAAACACACUGAUGAAAUCCCCCUUGAUAUCCACAUGGUGCUUACAGAUUCUGGAGGGAAGAUUCCAGCAAUGAAAUCUGCCGGUUUUUUUUAUCAAACCCAAACCAUUCGAGAUGCCUGGUGAACUCCAAUAUGAUGUAAUCUUAUCUUUUUCAUAACAAUCCUUUCUCCCCAAAGACAGAAGGGGAAGGAAAGGCCUAAUUAAGGAACGUUGGUUUUUAAGGUCAGAGUCUUCGGGGGAUAUCAAGUUAUCAUAUGCCGAGUUGCUUGUGAUGUUUACACUGACCCACAGAUGUGCCGUGAAUGUACAAAAUUAAAAUGUUAAUUGUC